rnacentral:rRNA from 1 species
AAAUUAAGGUUUAGAAAUCUGCCUUUUAGGGGGGAACAACUUUCCAAAGGGAAUGCUAAUCCCGCAUACUCCCUACGGAAAAAAGCGGGGAACCUUCGGCCCUUGCCCUAAUAAAUGACCCUAAGUCGAAUUAGCUAGUGGGGGGGGAAAAGGCCUCCCAGGGCAACAAUUUGUAGGGGGUCUAAAAGGAUAACCCCCCACCCGGGAACUGAAACCCGCCCCAAACUCCUACGGGAGGCAGCAGGGGGAAAUUUUGAACAAGGGGGGAACCCCUGACCCACCCAUGCCGGGGGUGUAAAAAAGGCUUUUUGGUUGAAAAGCAUUUUAAGCGAGGAGGAGGCUACUAUUUUUAAUACUCCGGGAUAGGGAACUUUCCUCCCAAAAUAACCCCCGGCUACCUCUGUGCCACCACCCGGGGAAAUACAAAGGGGGCAAGCUUUAUUCGAAUUUACUGGGCGUAAAGG